UAUAGUGUCAAGAGGCAUGGUACAAAUGCCUUAAAGUCAUAGUAGAAAGAAGUUGAGUCGGAAUUCAUAAGCUUCUUGAUGAUCUGAGGAAGAAUUUUGAAAAACAAAAUAAAAGAAAAAUCAGAACAGUUGUUGAAUACAAAA